UUAUCUCCAUUUCUCAUAUGUAUCAAUAAAAGGCCAUUCACAUGAAACCCUAUGCACAAAAACACUUGCCCUAGUUCUUUCAAUUGAUUGACAUAUAUAUAACCCUAUUGCUCAUCCUCAUCUUCAACCCCUACUUACCCAAAGCUAUCAAACCAUGGCUUAUCAAUCUUUUCCAUCUUUUUUCUUAACACUUUUACUUGUUACCCUCUCGUCAAUGUGGUACAAUAUUAAUAUAGUAGAUGCUCGACACCUUCUGGAGGUAGCAUUGCCAGAAAUACCCAAGCCCGAACUGCCGAAAGUUGAGUUAUCUCCAUUCCCGAAACCUGAAUUGCCUAAAGUUGAAUUACCUCCAUUGUCGAAGCCUGAAUUACCUAAAGUUGAAUUGCCACCGCUAACAAAACCUGAAUUGCCUGAGAUUCCAAAACCUGAGCUCCCAAAAGUCCCUGAAUUGCCUGAAUUUCCAAAACCUGCGUUACCAAAGAAACUUGAAGUGCCAGAGAUUCCAAAACCUGAGCUACCAGAACUUCCUGAAUUUCCAGAGAUUCCAAAGCCAGAGCUGCCGGAACUUCCUGAACUGCCUUCUUUUCCUCAUCUUCCUGAAUUUCCUAAGCCAACUCAUUCAACUUCUAAUCCGUAAAUUACCAGGCUGCAUCUUAUUGUUUCAUUGUCGUUGGAUUUCAUGUGUGGUGAACUUUCAUAAAGUACGUUUGGCAUUAUACUGGAAGAGAAAAUAUAUACUCACUGGGCUUGUAUUAUUUUCACUUUAAUUUUUUUCCUUUUUCGUUACUGGCUGAUUCAUGUGUAUUUUACGCACUGUACCUUGUAUUUUCUCUUGUAUUAUAUACGAUUACAUGUGUUUCUAUUAAUAUUUCUUACUAAUUCAUGUUGUUCUAUGUUAUCU
rnacentral:lncRNA from 1 species